GAUGAUGGUUUAGACCAGGGGUCCCCAAACUACGGCCUGCGGGCCGCAUACGGCCCGCCUCCACAUUUGACCCGGCCCCCUGAACAAUACAGAGACGGAAAAAAGGCUAAUGCUUAUGGUAAAAUGGUUGUGUCAUACAAGUAAUUACGACUGCUCGACGGAUCGCGGUCCCUUUAAAUGUUCUGUUGUUGUUGAUGACGUAGAGCCCGUUGAUAGGGAGAUUACAAGGCUGCGCCAUCUUGUUUUUUCAUCCGUUGUGAAAAAUAAACAAGAGACACACGCUUGUUCUCAACUUUCUCUGUGGAAUGCAACUUCCACAAUAAUGGCAAAACGGUGUGGUAAGAGAAAAAUUGAUUCAGAAUGCAGGGUAUUUAACCCGCAGUGGACACAUGAUUACUUUUUUGUUCAGUUGAAAGAAAAGGCUGUUUGUCUUGUCUGUCAAGAGACGGUGGCGGUAUUCAAAGAAUAAAACCUGCGCCGACAUUAUGAAUCCCGUCACAAAGACAAGUAUGCUAGCCUGCACGGCCAAAUGCGAGCAGAAAAAAUGUCUAAGCUUAAAACUGGACUGUUCGCUCAGCAGACUACAUUUGUACGGCAAACUUAGCUGAACCAAGCAUCAGUUCGGGCCAGCUUCCGUGUUGCUCAGCUGAUAGCAAGCUGCGUAAAUCUUUCACUGAAGGAGAGUUUGUCAAGAAAUGUUUGAAUGUUGUCGUGGAGGAGGUCUGUCCCGAGAAGAAAGAUGUCUUUAAUGCCGUGAGUCUGUCGGCAAGUACAAUUACCCGACGUGUUGAAGAAAUUGGGGCUAAUGUGUAUGCCCAGCUGCAGCAGAAGACUAAAGAUUUUCAGUUUUUUUCAUUAGCACUGGAUGAGAGCACGGACGUGCAGGACACCGCGGAGCUUCUUAUUUUUAUUCGUGGAGUUAACGCAAACUUUGAGAUGUGCGAGGAGCUGGCAGCCCUACAAAGCCUGAAAGGGACUACAACUGUGAUGUUCUGAAAGACGCAUUCAAGCCCAACAGUCUCAUUGACUUCUAUGCCGCCCUCCCAAAUGACACCUACCCUAACAUAAAACAACACGCAAUGAAGAUGUCCACACUUUUUGGCAGCACGUAUAUCUGCGAGCAAACCUUUUCACGCAUGAAACGCCUGAAAACUCCAACGAGAUCAAGAUUGACAGAUGAACAUUUGCAUCAGUGUUUGAGACUGGCGGUGACUAGAAUGGAACCGGACAUUCAACUUCUCUCCAGCCAGAUGCAGGCCCACAGUUCACACUGAUGAACACACAGUACAUAGAGGGAAGUUGAUGAGAGGGAGCCUACAGUGGUGUCUACUGGGCUAGCCUAUGGAACCUACAAAGAACACAAGAACUUUGAGAGACAUUUGAGAUUCUGCUGUGACAAGUGAAGUUUACCUUUUAUCUAGGAUUGUGCAUGGCACAGCAUAACUUUCUUUCUGUGAAGAACCCACAGAGGGUUAUUUGAUCUCAGAAAGGGUUAUUAAUAUUUGGAUAUGUGUGGUGCGCUGGAGUGUCAGCAUGUUUUCUGGAAAACAAUAAAUUAUUACAUUUAGGGA